rnacentral:snRNA from 1 species
GUGUUCAAUCUGGCAGCAUAUAUACUAAAACUGGAACAAUUCAGAGGAAACUAGCAUGGCCGCUGUGCAAGAAUGAGUUACAAAUUUCUAAAACAUUCCUUAUUUUU